GUUUACGUUUUUGGCGGGAA
rnacentral:snRNA from 1 species